CCUACGGGUGGCAGCAGUGAGGAAUAUUGGUCAAUGGACGAGAGUCUGAACCAGCCAAGUAGCGUGAAGGAUGACUGCCCUAUGGGUUGUAAACUUCUUUUAUAUGGGAAUAAAACGUUCCACGUGUGGGAUUUUGUAUGUACCAUAUGAAUAAGGAUCGGCUAACUCCGUGCCAGCAGCCGCGGUAAUACGGAGGAUCCGAGCGUUAUCCGGAUUUAUUGGGUUUAAAGGGAGCGUAGGUGGAUUGUUAAGUCAGUUGUGAAAGUUUGCGGCUCAACCGUAAAAUGGCAGUUGAAACUGGCAGUCUUGAGUACAGUAGAGGUGGGCGGAAUGCGUGGUGUAGCGGUGAAAUGCAUAGAUAUCACGAAGAACUCCGAUUGCGAAGGCAGUUCACUGGACUGCAACUGACACUGAGGCUCGAAAGUGUGGGUAUCAAACAGGAUUAGAUACCCCUGUAGUC
rnacentral:rRNA from 1 species